rnacentral:rRNA from 1 species
UUGGAGGGCAAGUCUGGUGCCAGCAGCCGCGGUAAUUCCAGCUCCAAUAGCGUAUAUUAAAGUUGUUGCAGUUAAAAAGCUCGUAGUUGAAUUUCGGGGUCAGCAAGUUGGUCGUGCCACCGGUAUGUACUGGCUUUGCUGAUUCCUCCUUCUUGUAGAACCGUAAUGCCAUUAAUUUGGUGUUGCGGGGAAACAGGACUGUUACUUUGAAAAAAUUAGAGUGUUUAAAGCAGGCUAACGCCUGAAUACAUUAGCAUGGAAUAAUGAAAUAGGACGAGCGAUCCUAUUUUGUUGGUUUCUAGGAUUGACGUAAUGAUUAAUAGGGAUAGUUGGGGGCAUUAGUAUUCAAUUGUCAGAGGUGAAAUUCUUGGAUUUAUUGAAGACUAACUACUGCGAAAGCAUUUGCCAAGGAUGUUUUCAUUAAUCAAGAACGAAAGUUAGGGGAUCGAAGACGAUCAGAUACCGUCGUAGUCUUAACCAUAAACUAUGCCGACUAGGGAUCGGAUGAUGUUAAUUUUAUAAUGACUCAUUCGGCGCCUUACGGGAAAC